UGGAGACAGAAGUGCGUCUGAGUCAGAGCAGUGAGACAGCGUUUUAGGCUGUCACCGACGAAAGGUCACAGCCAAAUACUCUACUUUUUUACGAUUUAAGUUGAUAUGUUCUUAUUAUUUCUGAUUUUUUUUUACAACAGUCGCGAAAGAAAAACAUGCAACAAACUUCACAAACAAAUAAAAAUUAGGCGGAAAAUUACUGAGUCUGAACUUGAAUAAGAAAAGUGAAAAUUACAAAAGAUGAAUUAGUGAUAACUAAAUGUCAAACUACAGUAAGUAAAUGUACCAGUGUUUGGUUUGGGGAAGCAAAAAGAAAACUCUUCAUGCAAAGUGCAAACGUCUUCUUUUCCUGUAGUUUGAUUUAUGAACACCAGGUGACAGCAGAGAGUCAGGCGGAAUCUGUGGACUGCAGGAUUUCCAAGGAUCAAUCUGUGAGCAACUUUUCCUCCUUUUUUUAGUGUCAAUAAAGUUUAAAUCAAUCGAGUAUGAAGUAAUUUAUAUUAUUUAAGGAAAUAGAAUAAUAUACAGACCAAUCAUUGCAUCGUAGAAAUACUUCAGGGUAAAUACAUUAUAAAUAGCUUUUUUGGUCUCACUUUCCAUGUUUUUAUCAAAGAGUUUCUGAACUUAAGAUGCUUUCGUAUUUCAUCUUUUUUGCACUCAUCAACUGUAUCAUGAUAAAUGUGACUAUUAGGAACAAGGUUUACCCAACCCCUCCAACCUGAUCAUGAUGGGAACUGAGAUCUAAUUCCAAGCAGGUAGCUCUGAUCUGGUGUGAUUACAUCCAAACAACUGGAUUUAGAGGUCCAGUCUCCAACUACAGACUACUCAGCUGUUCUGUAAUUUGCAUCAGUGCACAUAGACCACAGGCCAAAAGUUUGGAAGCAAGAUCAGAUUUUUACAAAAAAAGAUCAUAGUUUCAUAUAUAUAAUUUGCAACACAAUAAACAUGACUAUUGUGUAAAGAGUAACUUAUCAGAAGACAUUUUGACUGUAAUUAUUAGGUAUUUGAGUUAUUGUUGCUUAGACUUUGCUUUCUUUAAGGUAACCUCCUCUGGCUUUAACAACAGCUUGGCAAAUACAAGGCAUUCGUUCCACAAGUUUUUUAAGGUAUGUUCCAGGGAUUGCGUUCCAAGCUUUCUUAAAGUUCAUUAAAAAGAGACUGCUGAUUCGUGGGACGCAUUUUUCUGGCCGAUCGAUCCAAUUCAUCUCACACAAGCUCAGUUGGAGAGAGGUCUGGUGACUGAGGGGGCCAAACCAUCUUUUGAAGAACACCUUCCUCUUCUUUUUUUGUCUAGGUAACCCUGACAGAGCUUGGCAGAGUGCUUAGGGUCAUUGUCUUUCUGCAAAACAAACUUAUGAGCCACAAGUCUGAGUCCAGAUGGAAAAGCAUGGUGCUGGAGGAUGGAGUGGUACUGUUCCUUCUUCAUGAUACCCUUGACUUCAAACAAAGCCCCGACUCCAUCACCUGCAAAACAUCCCCAUACCAUGGAACUACCACCUCCAUGCUGAAUUGUGGGUGUAACACAUGGUGCUUUCAGACGUUCACCAGUUUGUCUGCGGACAUAGACUCUGCGUUUUGAACCAAACAGUACAAACUUGUUUCUAGUCAUCACAAUUUUUGUGAGCUUUUGCACACUCGUAUUUCUUUUUCUUGUUCUGUGGACGAAGUAGUGUUUUUUUGCAGAUACACAACCCUUCAGACCAGCCUUUCUCAAACAUCAGUUCACGGUUGUCAGAGAUAUGGGUUUCGACCUUGUCAUGUUGAUUUCCUCCCUUAUUUGUGGGGCUGUUUUUCGCCAAUCUCUCUUACUGGUGACAAUGAUAUGUUUAUCCUCUGCUUUUGUAGUAACUCUCUUUCGUCCAGGUAUUUUUCUAGCAUCAUAACUUCCAGGUUCCUCUAGUCUCUUCAGAGUGUAGUAGACUCCUUUGUUAAACAUCUUUAGGCGUUUUGCAAUUUCUCUUUCUGUGUAUCCUUCUUUCCUCAAUGUACAAAUCUGUACUUUUGUUUCUUUACUCAGUUGCUUCUUUCUAGCCAUUUUUUGCGGUAGUUUGAACGCAGUUGAGAUUUAUUAGGAUUUUGUAUGCAGACUCUCAAAAGCCAAAAAGUUGAAGUGAAUAAUCCAACUGUGAUUUGUUUUUUUGCUUUUGCACUGAAGUUGUGAUGCCUGCAAAUGUUUUCAACCCUAAAACUAAGCCCUUAUUAUCUUUUGCUGACAUGUAUUUAGCAAUGGUCUGUUAACAUCAAUGUAUAUCUAAAGGUAAAUGGAGUAAAAUGGUGCAUUUCCAUGAAAGCAACAUCUGAUCAUGGAGUAAAUACAUCCCAAAAUACAAACAACUUGUGCUGGAUUUAAAAAAAAAGCAUUGUGAACAAAAACUUGAAGUUACUCCCAACUGUUCUGCCUGUAAUGGCCUUGCUUCCAAACUUUUGGCCUGUAGUGUAUAUGAAGUCUAAUCGCUCUCAUUUACACUUUUCUCUGUAGCUUCUGCAGAGAUCAGAGGCAGAGUUGGUGGCAGCAGAUGGUCGUAGGAGUAACAUGAGAGAUAAAAACAGGUCAGAGGACCGAGGGAUGAUCAGAGUUUAUGUUCAUGAACACAGACUGCUGACAUUAAGUAAGAAAACAACCACACAGUCGUAUCAAAAGAAGAAAGUUGAAGAGACAGAAAUCGUCUUGAUAUGAAUAACCACAACAGAAAAUUAAUAUGUUUUGAAUAUCAGUUAAAAUGUUCUGUGAGUUUGGCACUGGAGGAUUUUAGAUGCUCAAAUUCAAGUCGAGACUUUUUUCUCUUCAUAUUAUUUCAGCUGAGUAUGAAGGAAAUGUAUUUGUUCAAGGGUAUUUUUUAUAUAACCUGCACAUAUUUUUUUACUUCUUUAUGCACCUUGUUAUGCUUCAUAUAUCCAGAGGAGCGUAAAAAUGUUGUUUUAAUUUUAUUUGUUGUCUUGUUAUGUAUUUGAUGCAAUUUUACCAUCUGUGCUUUGCCCCAUUUGUGAAAUAUCAGGCUAAGACAUUUAUUUUUUAUUGUUUCAUUUAAAUAGUUUGUCUUUGCAUAUUUAACACAGAAAAACUAAAACACAAGAAUUUUCUGUAAUUUUCACAAAUGAAAACAAACAAAAAAAAUAAUCCAGUCAAAGACAAAAAAGUUAUUUAAAGUUUUUCUAAUCAAAACAUAUGUUGUUGUAAAGGGUCCAACGAAGGAAGUGAGCUAUUUUAUACUUAAUCAUAUCCUCAGAUAUCGUAUCUUAUCGUAUUGUAUUGUACCAUUUCUUAUCAUAUCAUAUCAUGUCGUAUUGUAUCAUAUCAUAUCAUAUCAUGUUGUAAUGUAUCAUAUCGUAUCGUAUUGUACCUACCGUAUUGUACCUUAUCCUAUCAUAUUGUACCGUACCAUAUCGUAUCGUACCAUAUCAUAUCAUGUUGUAUCGUAUCGUAUUGUAUCAUAUCAUAUCAUAUCAUAUCAUAUCAUAUCAUAUCAUAUCAUGUCACAUCAUACCGUAUCAUAUCGUAUCAUAUUGAACCGUAUCAUAUCACAUUGUAUUGUAUUGUAUCAUAUCAUACCAUAUUAUCAUAUUGUAUCGUACCAUAUUGUAAUGUAUCGUAUUGUAUUGUACCGUACCAUACCAAAUCAUAUUGUAUCAUACCAUAUCAUUUUGUACUGUAUCAUAUCGUGUUGUAUCAUAUCGUUUCAUAGGGUAUUAUAUCCUCUUAAAUCAUACUGUAUUGUAUCGUAUCAUAUUGACAUGUAUCGUACCGUAUCCUAUCUUAUUGUACCAUAUCAUAUCAAAUUGUGUCGUGUCAUAUCAUAUUGUGUCAUAUCGUAUUGUAUUGUAGGGUAUCAUAUUAUUUCAUAAUGUACCUUAUCAUAUAGUAUCAUAUUGUAUCUAACCAUAUCAUAUCAUUUCAUAUCAUAUUGUAUCGUACAAUAAUGUGUUGUAUCGUAUUGUAUUAUAUCAUAUCAUAACAUAUUGUA